AAACCGUGUGCGUACAAGCAGUGGGAGCAGGCAGGUCCUGUGACCGCGUACCUUUUGUAUAAUGGGUCAGCGACUUAUUUUCAGUGGCGAGCUUAACCGAUUAGGGGAGGCGUAGAGAAAUCGAGUCUUAACUGGGCGACCAGUCGCUGGAAAUAGACCCGAAACCGGGCGAUCUAUCCAUGAGCAGGUUGAAGGUUGAGUAACAUCAACUGGAGGACCGAACCAGGAUCUGUUGAAAAAGAUUUGGAUGACUUGUGGAUCGGAGUGAAAGGCUAAUCAAGCCCGGAGAUAGCUGGUUCUCCUCGAAAGCUAUUUAGGUAGCGCCUCACGUAUCACCGCCGGGGGUAGAGCACUGUUUCGGCUAGGGGGCCAUCCCGGCUUACCAACCCGAGGCAAACUCCGAAUACCGGUGAGUGCAAGCGUGGGAGACACACAGCGGGUGCUAACGUCCGUUGUGAAAAGGGAAACAACCCAGACCGUCAGCUAAGGUCCCGAAAUCCUGGUUAAGUGGGAAACGAUGUGGGAAGGCUUAGACAGCUAGGAGGUUGGCUUAGAAGCAGCCAUCCUUUAAAGAAAGCGUAAUAGCUCACUAGUCGAGUCGGCCUGCGCGGAAGAUGUAACGGGGCUCAAACCAGGUACCGAAGCUACGGGUUCAUCCUCUGGAUGAGCGGUAGAGGAGCGUCGUGUACGCCGAUGAAGGUGAGUCGAAAGGCUUGCUGGAGGUAUCACGAGUGCGAAUGCUGACAUGAGUAACGAUAAGGGGAGUGAAAAACUCCCCCGCCGGAAGACCAAGGGUUUCUGUUCGACGCUAAUCGGAGCAGAGUGAGUCGGCCCCUAAGGCGAGGCCGAAAGGCGUAGUCGAUGGGAAACGGGUCAAUAUUCCCGUACCUCACUGUAUUGCGAUGGGGGGACGAAGAAGGCUAGGUGAGCCAGGCGUUGGUUGUCCUGGUGAAAGUCAGUAGGCUGGGGAAUCAGGCAAAUCCGGUUCCCCAAGGCCGAGAGACGAGACGAACAGACUACGGUCUGGAAGUCAUUGAUGCCACGCUUCCAGGAAAAGCCUCUAAGCUUCAGAUACAGUGGGACCGUACCCCAAACCGACACAGGUGGUCAGGGUGAGAAUCCCAAGGCGCUUGAGAGAACUCGGGUGAAGGAACUAGGCAAAAUGGUGCCGUAACUUCGGGAGAAGGCACGCCGCCGUUACGUGAAGGCCCUCGCGGCUGGAGCGGAAGGCGGUCGAAGAUACCAGGUGGCUGCAACUGUUUAUUAAAAACACAGUACUCUGCAAACGCGUAAGCGGACGUAUAGGGUAUGACGCCUGCCCGGUGCCGGAAGGUUAAUUGAUGGUGUUAGCGUAAGCGAAGCUCCUGAUCGAAGCCCCGGUAAACGGCGGCCGUAACUAUAACGGUCCUAAGGUAGCGAAAUUCCUUGUCGGGUAAGUUCCGACCUGCACGAAUGGCGUAAUGAUGGCCACGCUGUCUCCACCCGAGACUCAGUGAAAUUGAAAUCGCAGUGAAGAUGCUGUGUACCCGCGGCUAGACGGAAAGACCCCGUGAACCUUUACUACAGCUUCACACUGGACGCUGAUGUUGCUUGUGUAGGAUAGCUGGGAGGCUUUGAAACGGUAGCGCCAGCUACCGUGGAGCCAACCUUGAAAUACCAGCCUGGCAUCAUUGGCGUUCUAACUCAGGUCCGUUAUCCGGAUCGAGGACCGUGUGUGGUGGGUAGUUUGACUGGGGCGGUCUCCUCCCAAAGUGUAACGGAGGAGCACGAAGGUACCCUCAGCACGGUCGGAAAUCGUGCAAUGAGUGCAAGAGCAUAAGGGUGCUUAACUGCGAGACAGACACGUCGAGCAGAUACGAAAGUAGGUUCUAGUGAUCCGGUGGUUCUGUAUGGAAGGGCCAUCGCUCAACGGAUAAAAGGUACUCCGGGGAUAACAGGCUGAUACCGCCCAAGAGUUCACAUCGACGGCGGUGUUUGGCACCUCGAUGUCGGCUCAUCACAUCCUGGGGCUGAAGUCGGUCCCAAGGGUAUGGCUGUUCGCCAUUUAAAGUGGUACGCGAGCUGGGUUUAGAACGUCGUGAGACAGUUCGGUCCCUAUCUGCCGUGGGCGUUGGAGAUUUGAGAAGUGCUGCUCCUAGUACGAGAGGACCGGAGUGGACGACCCUCUGGUGUACCGGUUGUCACGCCCGUGGCAUUGCCGGGUAGCUAAGGUCGGACGGGAUAACCGCUGAAAGCAUCUAAGCGGGAAGCCUCCUUCAAGAUGAGAUCUCCCCGAGGCCUCGAGCCUCCUGAAGGGUCCAGCAAGACGAGCUGGUUGAUAGGCCGGAUGUGGAAGCGCUGCAAGGCGUUGAGCUGACCGGUACUAAUGGCCCGUGAGGCUUGACCAU
rnacentral:rRNA from 1 species